rnacentral:rRNA from 1 species
GCUGGCGGCGUGCCUAACACAUGCAAGUCGAACGAGAACGUGGGGGCAACUCCACUAGUAAAGUGGCAGACGGGUGAGUAACACGUGAACAAUCUACCCUCGAGUGGGGAAUAACACCGCGAAAGCGGUGCUAAUACCGCAUAACAUCUCCGGGUCGCAUGGUCUGGAGAUCAAAAGCGAAAGUUGCUUGAGGAGGAGUUCGCGCCUGAUUAGCUAGUUGGUGAGGUAACGGCUCACCAAGGCAACGAUCAGUAGCCGGCCUGAGAGGGCGAACGGCCACACUGGAACUGAGACACGGUCCAGACUCCUACGGGAGGCAGCAGUGGGGAAUUUUGCGCAAUGGGCGAAAGGCCUGACGCAGCAACGGCCCGCGUGGAGGAUGAAGGCCCUCGGGUCGU